GAUGAACGCUGGCGGCGUGCCUAAUACAUGCAAGUCGAGCGAACAGAUGAGAAGCUUGCUUCUCUGAUGUUAGCGGCGGACGGGUGAGUAACACGUGGGUAACCUACCUAUAAGACUGGGAUAACUCCGGGAAACCGGGGCUAAUACCGGAUAAUAUUUUGAACCGCAUGGUUCAAUAGUGAAAGACGGUUUCGGCUGUCACUUAUAGAUGGACCCGCGCCGUAUUAGCUAGUUGGUAAGGUAACGGCUUACCAAGGCGACGAUACGUGGCCGACCUGAGAGGGUGAUCGGGCACACUGGAACUGAGACACGGUCCAGACUCCUACGGGAGGCAGCAGUAGGGAAUCUUCCGCAAUGGGCGAAAGCCUGACGGAGCAACGCCGCGUGAGUGAUGAAGGUCUUCGGAUCGUAAAACUCUGUUGUUAGGGAAGAACAAAUUUGUUAGUAACUGAACAAGUCUUGACGGUACCUAACCAGAAAGCCACGGCUAACUACGUGCCAGCCGCCGCCGCGG
rnacentral:rRNA from 1 species